GACGAACGCUGGCGGCGGGCUUAACACAUGCAAGUCGAACGGAAAGGCCCUGCUUUUGUGGGGUGCUCGAGUGGCGAACGGGUGAGUAACACGUGAGUAACCUGCCCUUGACUUUGGGAUAACUUCAGGAAACUGGGGCUAAUACCGGAUAGGAGCUCCUGCUGCAUGGUGGGGGUUGGAAAGUUUCGGCGGUUGGGGAUGGACUCGCGGCUUAUCAGCUUGUUGGUGGGGUAGUGGCUUACCAAGGCUUUGACGGGUAGCCGGCCUGAGAGGGUGACCGGCCACAUGGGGACUGAGAUACGGCCCAGACUCCUACGGGAGGCAGCAGUGGGGAAUAUUGCACAAUGGGCGGAAGCCUGAUGCAGCAACGCCGCGUGCGGGAUGACGGCCUUCGGGUUGUAAACCGCUUUCGCCUGUGACGAAGCGUGAGUGACGGUAAUGGGUAAAGAAGCACCGGCUAACUACGUG
rnacentral:rRNA from 1 species